rnacentral:rRNA from 1 species
UACGGGGGGGGGCAAGCGUUGUUCGGAAUUACUGGGCGUAAAGGGCUCGUAGGCGGCCAACUAAGUCGGACGUGAAAUCCCUCGGCUUAACCGGGGAACUGCGUCCGAUACUGGAUGGCUUGAGGUUGGGAGAGGGAUGCGGAAUUCCAGGUGUAGCGGUGAAAUGCGUAGAUAUCUGGAGGAACACCGGUGGCGAAGGCGGCAUCCUGGACCAAUUCUGACGCUGAGUGAGCGAAAGCCAGGGGAGCAAACGGG